GCCUGGGUGGUUCAGUCAGUUGAGUGUCUGACUUCGGCUCAGGUCAUGAUCUCACGGUUUGUGGGUUCGAGCCCCGCAUUGGGCU
rnacentral:tRNA from 1 species